rnacentral:lncRNA from 1 species
GAAGUUUUUCUUGUGUCAAAGUAAUUGUGUUUUCCUUUGUUUUUCAAAAUCCUUAGCUCUGCCCAAGGCUAACGGAUCAUUUGUAGGCCCACUUUAAAUUUCAAAAUCAUUAUGACAAAUAAAGAGCAUUUUGUUCAAAUUCUUAUCGUUCAUUUAUUUGUUUUUCUUUCCUUGAAAUGGCAAUCCUUUCAAAAACUACAAAAAUGUUUUUCUUUCUUUUCCAUUUUAUUUUCACUUUUCUAAGAAGACCAUCAUUUAAAAAACAUG